GGCGUUUUCUCUCUGCCAAAUCAGUAUAGUGCUCCCCUUUUCAAAUGAUUAGGGAUCUAUUCAAUCUCUAUCACGGAAACCUUACAGAUUGCGUAACCUACAUUUUAAGGUAAUUCUGAUUGAGCUGACAUAUACCUGUAAAUGCAGUCUCCCGCUAAUUUGGGCACAUUGCCUUUAAAUUCCAACCACGCCGUAACGCUACAUAGAGCCCUUAAAGGAAGCAGAACUGGAUACACUAGCUGGUCAGAUAGUUCCAGUUCAGUAAAGUUGUUGGCAGAAAGUAAAUCUAUUCAUGCUGUGGUGGUGGUGGUGGUGUGCAAUAGGUUGACUUGUCUGCUUGCUACGGUAGUUGUAACUUCCCCUUUUUACCUCGUCACAGUAGAACAGGGAAGAGAAUCACCAGAGUGCCUGUUCUGGGUCAAACACAUACUAACGUAACGAAAGCUUUGUUAUUUACUUAGCGACAACAAGGGUGCAUCCCUAAAAGUCUCCUGCUCCCUGCAGGUGUGAAGGGGUUGGUAAGUGCACUAUAAAGGUCUCCUGUUCCCUUCAGGUGUGAAGGGGUUGGUAAGUGCACUAUAAAGGUCUCCUGCUCCCUACAGGUGUGAAGGGGUUGGUAAGUGCACUAUAAAGGUCUCCUGUUUCCUACAGGUGUGAAGGGGUUGGUAAGUGCACUAUAAAGGUCUCCUGUUUCCUACAGGUGUGAAGGGGUUGGUAAGUGCACUAUAAAGGUCUCCUGUUCCCUACAGGUGUGAAGGGGUUGGUGCAUCCCUAAAGGUCUCCUG